GACGAGCGCUGGCGGCGUGCUUAACACAUGCAAGUCGAACGAAGAGCGAUGGAAGCUUGCUUCUAUCAAUCUUAGUGGCGAACGGGUGAGUAACGCGUAAUCAACCUGCCCUUCAGAGGGGGACAACAGUUGGAAACGACUGCUAAUACCGCAUACGAUCUAAUCUCGGCAUCGAGGAUAGAUGAAAGGUGGCCUCUACAUGUAAGCUAUCACUGAAGGAGGGGAUUGCGUCUGAUUAGCUAGUUGGAGGGGUAACGGCCCACCAAGGCGAUGAUCAGUAGCCGGUCUGAGAGGAUGAACGGCCACAUUGGGACUGAGACACGGCCCAGACUCCUACGGGAGGCAGCAGUGGGGAAUCUUCCGCAAUGGACGAAAGUCUGACGGAGCAACGCCACGUGAGUGAUGGCGGCCUUCGGGUUGUAAAGCUCUGUUAAUCGGGACGAAAGGCCUUCUUGCGAAUAGUGAGAAGGAUUGACGGUACCGGAAUAGAAAGCCACGGCUAACUACGUG
rnacentral:rRNA from 1 species